UUUUUCUUUUAAGAAAUAGAUAAAAACGGGCUUUGCCUAUUCACGGCGGCAUCGGGUAAAGCGCUGGAAGAGAAACCAACGAAUUUUUACUUGAUUUUCCAUGCUGAUCUCCAGCGUGAUAGUUGCUGUUCUUUUGAGAGGAGCCUACGGAUGCCGCAGAUGACUGGCUGACUUUGCAUAAGAACUCCACCGUAAAUUCUUGCUGCAAUUCUGACAGGUAAAGUCCUGAUCAUACUUUGGCCCAGCACUGGAAAAGCCUGGAGUCCAAUAAAAAGGAAACAUGGCAGCACUAGUGUGUUAGUAAGGUGGGAAAGUCUGCUGAAGGUAUUUGGGGCACUGAAGAUGAAAAUUUACCAUAAAGAAUUGCAAAAGGACCCUAAAAAAAAUAACCAAGUUGUUACCUGAAAUAAAAGUUCUCCAAACCAAAAGUA